UACGUAGGGGGCGAGCGUUGUCCGGAUUCAUUGGGCGUAAAGCGCUUUAAGGCGGUUCGCUAAGUCGGGUGUGAAACCUCCAGGCUCAACCUGGAGACGCCACUCGAUACUGGCGUGACUAGAGUUCGGUAGGGGACCACGGAAUUCCUGGUGUAGCGGUGAAAUGCGCAGAUAUCAGGAGGAACACCAGUGGCGAAGGCGGUGGUCUGGGCCGAUACUGACGCUGUAGAGCGAAAGCGUGGGGAGCGAACAGGG
rnacentral:rRNA from 1 species